GAAAGGAAGGAAAGAAAGAAAAAAGAGANGACAACUUUUGACGGUGGAUCUCUUGGCUCGCGCAUCGAUGAAGAACGCAGCCAGCUGCGAUAAGUAGUGUGAAUUGCAGAAUUCAGUGAAUCAUCGAAUCUUUGAACGCAAAUGGCGCUCUUGGGUUCUCCCAGGAGCAUGUCUGUCUGAGUGUCGGAUUGUACNCCAUCGCGGCUGGACCGUUUCCGUCAGCCGCGGCGUUGAGGCGACACGACGCGUUCCCGGUUAGGUCGUGUCCCUCGAAACAGAGCGUAGCCCCGUUGCCGCGGCGGUCGCGUCCGACUCUGUCCGCCAAAAGGGGAGGCUUAAGACCACCUUUCCCUGGACGGAGAAGGGCCAAAGGCAGUGAGAACGAAACCCAACUUGACCUCAGAUCAGGCAAGG
rnacentral:rRNA from 1 species